AUGGACCUCGCGACGGGGGCCAUGGGCAGCCUGCUCCUCAAGCUUGGCAAGCUCCUCAUGGAGGAGUACAAGCUGCAGACCAACGUCAAGGAAGAUGUUGAAUAUCUCAAGAGAGAGCUGACAAGCAUGUAUGCUGCCCUACGUAAGGUGGGGGGCAUGCCACGUGACCAGCUCGACGACCAGCUCAAGCUCUGGGCCAACGAAGUCAGGGACUUGUCGUUCAUAAUGGAGGACAUCGUCGACAAGUUCCUGGUGCGCGUCGAGGGAGCUGAGCCAGCCAUCAAGCCACGCAAACUCAAGAAGCUCAUGAAGAAGAUGGGGAACUUGUUCAGGAAGAACAAGACUCACCAUGAGAUCUCCGAUGAGAUCAAAGACAUCAAGGGCCGCGUCAAGGAGGCAGCUGAACGACGUGAUAGGUACUGGGUCAACGAUGUGGUUGUUAAUCCAGUUGGCUCAAUCAAUGUUGACCCUCGCCUAUUGGCUUUGUACAAGGACCAGAAAGAGCUUAUUGGUAUUGAUGAUUCAUUGAAUGAGCUAACUAAGAUGAUGUGUGAUGGAGAUGGUGAUGCGUGCAAGCAACUGAAGAUACUCUCUAUUUUCGGGUUUGGAGGCCUUGGCAAGACAACUCUUGCCAAAGCAGUGUAUGAUAAGCUCAAACCACAGUUUGGUUGCUGUGCUUUUGUUCCGGUAGGACGGAACCCUAGCCUAAAAAAACUUCUCAAUGACAUUCUCUUUGGAAUUCACAAGAAAAAGUACACGGAGUUGGAUGAAAGGGAGCUGAUCGACAAACUCCGAGAAUUACUUGAGAACAAAAGGUACUUGAUUGUUAUUGAUGACAUAUGGGAUAAAAGAACAUGGAAACUAGUCAAGACCGCUUUGGUGUGUAAUAAUAAUGGAAGCAGGAUAAUCACAACUACCCGUAUACUCGAAGUUGCCACAAUGACCAGUGAAGUAUACAAGCUAAAACCGCUUUCUCUUGAUUUAUCGAAGGAUUUGUUUCAUAGAAGAUUAUCUUGUGGUGAAAUAGAAUGGUCUAAUCAUCUGCCGGCAGAGGUAUACAAUAAAAUUUUACAUAAAUGUGGUGGUGUACCAUUGGCUAUAAUCACAAUAGCUAGUUUGCUUGUCGGUAAACCUGUGGAGGUUUGGUCUAAGGUAUACACUUCAAUUGGUUUUGGGCAUGAAGAAAACGAAGACGUGGAGAACACGAGAAAAAUACUUUUAUUUAGCUAUUAUGAUCUACCUUGUUACCUAAAGACUUGCUUAUUGUAUCUAAGCAUAUAUCCUGAAGACCAUCUUAUUGAUAAAGAUAGUUUGAUAUGGAAGUGGGUCGCCGAAGGUUUUAUCCAUGAGGAACCAGGGAUAGGACUAUUCGAGAUUGGCGAGAGAUACUUCAAUGAGUUGGUAAACAAAAGCAUGAUAAUGCCUGUAGAGAUACCACAUCAUGGCAUCAUAACUGGUUGUCGUGUCCAUGACAUAAUGCUUGACAUGAUAUGCCUAUUGUCAAAGGAAGAAAACUUUGUUACCGUAUUGGAUAGUAACGAGAAAUAUACAACUUCUCAUUGCAAUGCUCAUAGGCUAGCUGUUGAUCGUAGAGUCCAACCCCUGGCUAGCAUAUCCACAUCACGGGUAAGGUCACUUAAUGCCAUGUGCGGUGCUGAGAUGUUGCCAUCAUUUUCAUGCUUUGAAGUUUUGCGUGUCCUAGCUUUGGAAGGCCCCACUAAUUCAUGCAAUCCUAAUUAUCUUGAGCAUGUUGGAAAGUUAGUUCACUUGCGGCACCUCAAACUAGCGAGCAUGGGUAUCUGUGAGGUCCCAAAGGAAAUAGGAUAUCUAAAGUUCUUGGUGGUAUUGGACUUGGGUCGAAAUAGCAUAAGUGAACUUCCAGAGAGUAUUAGUCGUCUAAGUCAACUCAAGUGCUUGAACAUCUGCGAAACAGACAUUGAAGUGCCAUGUUGGAUCGGGAAUUUGACUUCUCUGGAAGAGCUAUGUCUAUAUAAAGUUGAUGAGCAAUCAAACUUUGUGACAGAAGUUGGCAAGUUGACAGAGUUGAGGAAACUCCGCAUUUCUAACACUUUAGAACUGUGGCGUGACAGCGAAAGGAAUGCUUGGGAGGAGUCUGUAGGUAAAUUGAAUAAGAUCCAAGUCAUUGACAUUAAUCAUAUUGGCUCAUUUAGAAUUCCUGGUGAUGAGAGCCCCUGGGGACGGUAUGCCCUCUCUCCGCAACUUCGUGUUCUGCGCAUGGCCUAUGGAGAACCUGGGCUGGUGGCAAGGAUCAAUCCCCGACUUCUUCCAAACCUCUCACAUUUGGAACUAUUUGUAUACACUUCGGAACUGGACGUCUUCGGAAGAUUUCAAGAGCUUGUUACCCUCAAGCUGUGCACGUGGUCAGCUCUCCACCACGACACCAUGGGCGGUGCGGGUGCAUUCCCCAAGCUGAGGGUAUUCAAGACAGAAGCAACGAUUGGUUCGUUUCUAGAGGGAGAUAUGCCCAUCCUUGAAUCUCUCCAGUUCCGCGUGGUUGCGCAGUCCAAUGAUGACGGCAUCAGCUUUGACUUUGACUUUGAUAGCCUAAGGAACCUCCCUUUGCUUCAGUCCGUCAGAGUCUUUUUAUUUGCCCAUCCUCCGGAGCACAAGAAGGCUGAGGAAAUGGUGAGGCGUGCAAUUGAUAUGCUUCCAAACCGUCCCAGCCCUCGCAUCCAUUCAUAUGAUAUAAUAAUAAAUAGGAGCCAAACUGGUUGA
rnacentral:rRNA from 1 species